GCGGGAGUGGUGAAAUUGGUAUACACGCAGGUUUUAGGUACCUGUGCCGAAAGGCGUGAGGGUUCAAGUCCCUUCUCCCGCACCG
rnacentral:tRNA from 1 species